AUUGAACGCUGGCGGCAGGCUUAACACAUGCAAGUCGAGCGGGGUGAUGGUGCUUGCACUAUCACUUAGCGGCGGACGGGUGAGUAAUGCUUAGGAAUCUGCCUAUUAGUGGGGGACAACAUCUCGAAAGGGAUGCUAAUACCGCAUACGUCCUACGGGAGAAAGCAGGGGAUCACUUGUGACCUUGCGCUAAUAGAUGAGCCUAAGUCGGAUUAGCUAGUUGGUGGGGUAAAGGCCUACCAAGGCGACGAUCUGUAGCGGGUCUGAGAGGAUGAUCCGCCACACUGGGACUGAGACACGGCCCAGACUCCUACGGGAGGCAGCAGUGGGGAAUAUUGGACGACGGGGGGAACCCUGAUCCAGCCAUGCCGCGUGUGUGAAGAAGGCCUUAUGGUUGUAAAGCACUUUAAGCGAGGAGGAGGCUCUUUUGGUUAAUACCCAGAAUGAGUGGACGUUACUCGCAGAAUAAGCACCGGCUAACUCUGUGCCAGCCGCCGCCGUAA
rnacentral:rRNA from 1 species